rnacentral:rRNA from 1 species
CAGCCGCCACGGUAACACGAACCGUGCGAACGUUAUUCGGAAUUACCGGGCUUAAAGCGCGUGUAGGCGGGCCGCCACGUCGGUUGCUGAAAUCCCCCGGCUCAACCGGGGAAGUGGCAUCGAUACGAGCGGCCUUGAGGGGGGUAGGGGGAUCUGGAACUUCCGGUGGAGCGGUGAAAUGCGUUGAGAUCGGAAGGAACGCCCGUGGCGAAAGCGAGGUCCUGGACCCUUUCUGACGCUGAGACGCGAAAGCCAGGGGAGCGAACGGGAUUAGAUACCCGCGUAGUCCCUGUCUCUUAUA